rnacentral:rRNA from 1 species
GACGAACGCUGGCGGCGUGCUUAACACAUGCAAGUCGAACGGAAAGGCCCUGCUUUUGUGGGGUGCUCGAGUGGCGAACGGGUGAGUAACACGUGAGUAACCUGCACUUGACCUUGGGAUAACUUCAGGAAACUGGGGCUAAUACCGGAUAGGAGCUACUGCUGCAUGGUGGGGGCGGGAAGGAUUCGGCGGUUGGGGAUGGACUCGCGGCUUAUCAGCUUGUUGGUGGGGUAGUGUCUUACCAAGGCUUUGACGGGUAGCCGGCCUGAGAUGGUGACCGGCCACAUUGGGACUGAGAUGCGGCCCGGACUCCUACGGGAGGCAGCAGUGGGGAAUAUUGCACUAGGGACGGAGGCCUGAUGCAGCACCGCCGCGUGCGGGAUGACGGCCUUCGGGUUGUAUACCGCUUUCGCCUGUGACGAAGCGUGAGUGACGGUAAUGGGUAAAGAAGCACCGGCUAACUACGUG